rnacentral:rRNA from 1 species
AUACAGAGGGUGCGAGCGUUAAUCGGAAUUACUGGGCGUAAAGCGCGCGUAGGCGGUUAUUUAAGUCAGAUGUGAAAUCCCUGGGCUCAACCUAGGAACUGCAUCUGAAACUGGGUAACUAGAGUUUAGGAGAGGGGAGUAGAAUUUCGGGUGUAGCGGUGAAAUGCAUAGAGAUCCGAAGGAAUACCAGUGGCGAAGGCGACUCCCUGGCCUAGAACUGACGCUGUGGUGCGAAAGCGUGGGUAGCAAACGGGAUUAGAAACCCUAGUAGUCC